GGGGCCUGUUGCAAAGGUUGCUGCCCUGGGGUGUCUACUUGGUGAGUGGCUAAGUCGGUGUACCCUGGUUUCUGUGAGAAUAUUGCCUGUUUCUCUUGGAGCAGUUUGUGUAACUGCUCCCUCUCCACUGGGUUAAGUCGGUCCCCUAUCUGCACUUGGCUCACUAUAUCUGACGGGUCAUUCCGGGUCAACAAGUCGGGUAUGGGAAGACUAUCAGGGUCUUCGGUUGCGGGGCUACAUAUGGCCGAUACAUCUUCGGGUCAUUGAAGAUAUUCCUUUAACAUAUUCACGUGGAAUAUCUUCCUUAAGUUUUCAUCGUGACAGCUGGCAAUCACAAAGGUAGUGUCCCCUCUUUUCUCCACUACCUGGUAAGAUACCUGCCAGGCUGCUUGCAACUUGUCUGCUUUGAUGGGUUUAAGCAACAUCACUUUUUGUCCAAUAUAAAAACUCCUUUGUCCCGCCCCCUUGUCAUACCAGACCUUCUGUCGCUUCUGGGCUGCCUGGACCGACCGGGCUAGUUGCUCCAUGCGGUCCCUAAGCUCCAGUACAUAGGGCACGAUGGGGACUCCAGCAUUCUCCGUCUCACCCUCCCAGGGCUCACGGAUCAGGUUUAGGGGGCCCCGCACCUUACGCCCGAAGAGCAGUUCGAACAGAGAGAAUCCGGUUGUUUCCUGGGGCACCUCACGGUAUGCGAACAGGAGAUGCGGUAGGAAACGUUCCCAGUCUCUAUAUUCCUGGGUGAAGGUUUUUAACAUUUGUUUGAGGGUCCCAUUGAACCUCUCACAUAGCCCAUUAGUCUGAAGAUGAUACGGAGAGCUGAGUAGGGAUUUUAUUUUGCAGACAUGCCAUAGUUGUUGCGUUAGUUCAGCAGUGAACGGAGUACCUCUGUCAGAUAGAAUUUCCCUAGGGAAUCCUACCCGAAAGAAGACUUGUACUAAGGCAUUAGCUACGGUGUCCGCCUGAAUAUUGGAUAGAGCCACUGCCUCGGGAUAGCAGGUAGCGUAGUCCACCACGGUAAGAAUAUAUCUCUUUCCGGAUGGACUAGGGGUGGCGAGGGGCCCUACUAGGUCGAUAGCUACCCGGCUAAACGGUUCCUCUAUAAUGGGCAUGUUCAUGAGGUGCACCUUCGGGUGGUCUCCUCUCUUGCCUACCCUUUGGCAGACCUCACAUGUGUUGCAGUAUGAGCGCACAUCUGCAUGUACUCCGCCAAAAGAGGGUAUGGGUGAUCCGUUUGAGAGUACGGGUCACAGCUAAAUGUCCAGCUAACGGAAUGACAUGACCGACUGAGUAUAUCUCGUCUAUACUUGUGGGGAAUGACUAGCUGCCGCCUAUGGUUCCCUUUCUUUUCGGUGUGUCUGUAUAGUCUGCCCUGUUCCCAUGCGAACGUCUCUUGAUCUGAUCCCCCAGUCCCUGUAUCAGCUCUGUAUAUAGCUCCCUAUAAUUCUGAAGUGUCGGGUCGGUUUUAGUUUCAGCCUCAAAGACUGCAGGGGUAUCCCAGAGUAACGGGGACAGAUCGUUAGUCACAGUCGGGGGUAGUCUUACCUGAGUCUCCCGCACUGGUGAAGGGUCUCGAGUCCUUCCUGCUUGUGACCGGGUAGUGACAGGACACGCCUCCGAGUUGUAGGAAGGAGCAUAGGCAGAAGUCAUGGGUCCCAGGUCGUUGCCCAGUAAAACCUCUGCUGGCAAAUUAUCCAUGAUCCCCACCUUCACAAGACCUUUCCACGCACCCCAAUCCAAAUGUACUCGAGCCGUGGGUAGUUUGUAAAUGUCCCCUCCAGCCACCCUGACAGCAACGGUGUCCGUGGAGCGCUUGUGUGCUGGGACCAGUUGGCCUUGUACCAGGGUGAUAGUGGCCCCCGUGUCUCUCAACCCACUGUGUGGGGCGGCCCUCCAGCAAUACCUCCUGUCGGUUGUCAUUUGCGGCAUAUAUGGGGUUGGCUUCGUGCAAGGGUCCCAAAUAUUCCUCUAGGGGGCUUUCCUGUUCGACACAGAAAGCGCAUGCUGGGCGGUUAUUUACCGAGGGAGCUGCAUUGUAACUCCUCGAUGAGUAAUUGUUGUUGAGGGGGCAGUUAGCAAUGAGAUGCCCUGGCUGCUUGCAUUUGUAGCAGGUGGGGCAGGAGCGUUCCUGUGUGUAAUGGCUGGGUGGUCCAGCGUAUCGGGUAGGUCCCGCCGGCACAGGCGUACGAAACUCAGUUUGUGGGUUUGGUCGGUGCGAGUGGC